rnacentral:rRNA from 1 species
UGGGGAAUAUUGGACAAUGGGCGAAAGCCUGAUCCAGCCAUGCCGCGUGUGUGAAGAAGGUCUUCGGAUUGUAAAGCACUUUAAGUUGGGAGGAAGGACAUUAACCUAAUACGUUAGUGUUUUGACGUUACCGACAGAAUAAGCACCGGCUAACUCUGUGCCAGCAGCCGCGGUAAUACAGAGGGUGCAAGCGUUAAUCGGAAUUACUGGGCGUAAAGCGCGCGUAGGUGGUUUGUUAAGUUGGAUGUGAAAGCCCCGGGCUCAACCUGGGAACUGCAUUCAAAACUGACUGACUAGAGUAUGGUAGAGGGUGGUGGAAUUUCCUGUGUAGCGGUGAAAUGCGUAGAUAUAGGAAGGAACACCAGUGGCGAAGGCGACCACCUGGACUAAUACUGACACUGAGGUGCGAAAGCGUGGGGAGCAAACA